rnacentral:tRNA from 1 species
GGGGAUAUAGCUCAGUUGGUAGAGUGCCUGCUUUGCAUGCACAAGGUCCUGGGUUCCAUCCCCAGCACCACUA